AUGGCUGUGGCUCAGUUGGAAGAGUAGUUGUCUUGCAGUCAGAAAGGUGUUGGUUUGAUUCCAGUUUCCUCCCUGCCACA